AGUGAACGCUGGCGGUAGGCCUAACACAUGCAAGUCGAACGGCAGCACAGUAAGAGCUUGCUCUUACGGGUGGCGAGUGGCGGACGGGUGAGGAAUACAUCGGAAUCUACUUUUUCGUGGGGGAUAACGUAGGGAAACUUACGCUAAUACCGCAUACGACCUACGGGUGAAAGCAGGGGAUCUUCGGACCUUGCGCGAUUGAAUGAGCCGAUGUCGGAUUAGCUAGUUGGCGGGGUAAAGGCCCACCAAGGCGACGAUCCGUAGGUGGUCUGAGAGGAUGAUCAGCCACACUGGAACUGGGACACGGUCCAGACUCCUACGGGAGGCAGCAGUGGGGAAUAUUGGACAAUGGGCGCAAGCCUGAUCCAGCCAUACCGCGUGGGGGAAGAAGGCCUUCGGGUUGUAAAGCCCUUUUGUUGGGAAAGAAAAGCAGCAGGUUAAUACCCCGCUGUUCUGACGGUACCCAAAGAAUAAGCACCGGCUAACUUCGUGC
rnacentral:rRNA from 1 species